GGAAGACUGGAUAGGGCUGAAGUUGGAGAAAUGCCUUUUCCCAGGGUUGUCAGACUGUCAUUUGUUCUGAUGAAGACCCCGCACUCCUUGAGUGGUCAGCCAGUUUUAUCCCAGGGCAGCCACACUUCAGAGGCCUCUGCAUCAUAAGCUUCAUCUAUCUUCAUAUUCAGCAAAACACCAGAUAAGUGGCUAAUUAGCAUAAUUAACAUCAGAAAUGGGUUUUCAUUGGUGAAUUUAGUGGCUUGUUAAUCAGCAUAAUGAAUGUUAGAAAUGGGUUCUGAAUUGUGAAAUUAGAAGAAAUCAAGAUAGUGAAUUGGUUAAAGUAUUAUAGAAACAUACUUAACACUUGCAUAA
rnacentral:lncRNA from 10 species